rnacentral:sRNA from 1 species
AAAGAAUAAAGCUACACUGUUGCUCUCCUGUCUUCUGGCUGACCACACAGUUCAUGUAUUAAGAUACUUCUUUAACUUUCUCAGGAAUGUUUCUCUUAGAUCCAGUGAGAAUAAGAUGGAUAGCAGCAAUCUUGCAGUAAUAUUUGCACCGAAUCUUCUUCAGACAAGUGAAGGACAUGAAAAGAUGUCUUCUAACACAGAAAAGAAGCUACGAUUACAGGCUGCAGUAGUGCAGACUCUUAUCGAUUAUGCAUCAGAUAUUGGUAAGAUGUAGUUGCAUUAUUAACAGAAUUUGUUUAAAUGAGGAAAAUCUCUGUUUCUUUCAAAGGAACUAUGAAGGCAACUGUUAGAAAGUUGGUAUAUUACUGACCUCACCCCCACCCUACAGUACCGGCCCCUCCUGCA